CAGCCCGCAGCUCCUGCCUGCAGAGCGCGUAGCCCGCGCCUGGAAGGGCACCCGCCAGCCAGGGGCCGGCCAAGCGCCGGCCGGUGCCAAGGACCCAGCGCUAGCCACGCGCUCCGGGGCUCGGGGAGAAUUGGGAGCGGCUCCGACGCCCUCGUCCCACCCAGCAGCGCCGGUUCAGCACCGGGACAGCGGACAGCACACGGGCGGAGCGCCGGCGGGAGGCAGGGUCCGGAGAGCAGGGCCCGCGCUGGGAGACACAGUGGAAGGUUUUUUCAGAAUUAGUUUGUGGCCCUUCUCACUGAUGUGUAAACAGCUGGUCUCCAGGCCUCAUAUUCAGCUCCAUCCGGAUUCGCUGCAGCUACAAGGAAAGCCGAUUGGAGCAGCCCCACUGCAGGUCAGGAGACAGGAACCUGGUCCUGGGUGCUGGGCCCCAGCUGAGCACACAAGCCCUGUGGCUCCGGGCUCAGGGCAGCAGCUGCGGCUUUCUUCUACUUAGUGCAGGCAGGCGUUGUGCCCUCCCAUAUGGCACCGAGUGGACAGUCGUGCCUUUGGCCCUGAGAGGUAUGGACACUGCCUCGUUAGCUCCUGGAGUUACUGACAAUACAUCCGUGAACAGGAAUGCCCUAAGUGACAUCUGGAAAGUCACAAAAGUAUGGUCUGCUGACCCACUCGGUUCUUGAGAGAAUCAGCAACCUGCAGCCUUUCCCGUAUCGUUCCUCUGGGCAAUUGCCUUGCCGGGUGCUUGCAGUGCGUGAGAAGGGAUGGCACCAAGUCCAAGGCCGGCGAGAGCUGGCCUCUGUCCAUCGCAGCAGCAGGAUGAGCUCCGGGAGGCACAGAUGGAAUCCAUUCAUUUGGAGAAGCAGAGGAAGUUGGCAGAAAAGAUCAAAUACAAAGUGCUCGCGGCAGCCUGAGUCCCACAGGCUGGCUCCAUAAACAAAGGAUGCACUCCACCGGAGCCGGCUGAGUGGUGCUGUUUUUAGCAAUCGAGGCCCAAUGAGCUGGGCCACUUAUAGGAUUUUUCCUACAUGACUUCAGUAGACGGCGUCCAAGCACAACUGCUCACGCGUAGUGUGGAGAAGUCAGAGUUCUAAGUCUCAUAUUUUGUGUUUUUCUAAGUGGCAGUUUGAAUUCUUUCAUGAGAUAGAAAAUGUGAAACACAAAUGAACGAUUCCUGACAAAAGUGCUGUCGAUCAACGAGAAAGACAUUUUCCUUUAGAUGCCAGCACGGCUGAGUGACAACAUAGAAACUCCUAAAGAAGGCUCUUGCUGGGGAGCGAGGCUCCUGCCACUGGUCCCCUCCGUGGGGAAGGCCCCCGGGUGGGUACCCUCGGCCCCUCUGGUCCUGCAUGCUGGUUCUCUGUGUAGAAUGUUGGAGAAAUAAAGCAUGAGGCUUGCUGCCAUCCUUUU